UUAAACUCUUCAAGCAUAAAAACAGUACGUCAUACACUGUAUGCCAAUCCCGGUAAAUAAGCAAGUCUCGAAUUUCUAUGUCAAUUUGAUUUAAAAUCUAUAUUAAAAGGUAAAUAGUUCAAUAGAAGGGAACAAAAACCAUUUAUCAUGAAGCAGAUAAUCAUAAGGUACCAGUAUUCGCAUCUUCAUUGCAGCAACAUAGAAACAAAAAUGGCUGGAAAACGCCACCAGUGAAUUACUGGUAAUGAUAAAUGGGACACAAUAAGGCUCUCAACAAAUGCCAAUCAAUCAAAAAUCAUAGAACUCCUCCACAUAUGGAAAGUUUAUGGUGCAAGUUCUUGAAUGCCUCAAAAUCCAAUAGGAGAGGACAAAUGACAAUGGAAUAGAAAACCAUUGUAAAA